rnacentral:rRNA from 1 species
AUUGAACGCUGGCGGCAGGCCUAACACAUGCAAGUCGAGCGGAGCGGCGGACGGGUGAGUUAUGCCUAGGAAUCUGCCUGGCAGUGGGGGAUAACGUCCGGAAACGGGCGCUAAUCCCGCAUCCCAUCAGAUUAGCCCAGGGGGGAUUCGCGAGUUGGUGGGGUAAAGGCCUACCAAGGCGACGAUCCGUAACUGGUCUGAGAGGAUGAUCAGCCACACUGGAACUGAGACACGGCCCAGACUCCUACGGGAGGCAGCAGUGGGGAAUUUUGGACAAUGGGGGAAAGCCUGAUCCAGCCAUGCCGCGUGUAUGAUGAAGGUCUUCGGAUUGUAAAGCACUUUAAGUUGGGAAGCGUUACCAGCAGAAUAAGCACCGGCUAACUUCGUGCCAGCAGCCGCGGUAAUAC